AUGAACGCUAGCGGCAGGCCUAACACAUGCAAGUCGAGGGGCAGCACAUGAAGUAUUUCGGUACUUUUGGUGGCGACCGGCGCACGGGUGCGUAACGCGUAUGCAACCUACCUUUAACAGGGGGAUAAUUCGGAGAAAUCUGGUCUAAUACCCUAUAACAAUUCUGAGGGCAUCCUCGGGAUUUAAAAGUUCCGGCGGUUAAAGAUGGGCAUGCGUGACAUUAGGUAGUUGGUAAGGUAACGGCUUACCAAGCCUACGAUGUCUAGGGGGACUGAGAGGUUAACCCCCCACACUGGUACUGAGACACGGACCAGACUCCUACGGGAGGCAGCAGUGAGGAAUAUUGGUCAAUGGACGCAAGUCUGAACCAGCCAUGCCGCGUGCAGGAAGACGGCUCUAUGAGUUGUAAACUGCUUUUGUACGAGGGUAAACCCGGUUACGUGUAACCGGCUGAAAGUACCGUACGAAUAAGGAUCGGCUAACUCCGUGCCAGCAGCCGCGGUAAUACGGAGGAUCCAAGCGUUAUCCGGAUUUAUUGGGUUUAAAGGGUGCGUAGGCGGUUUGUUAAGUUAGAGGUGAAAUCCCGUGGCUCAACCACGGAACUGCCUCUGAUACUGGCAGGCUAGAGAAUGGUUGCUGUGGGCGGAAUGUGUGGUGUAGCGUGAAAUGCUUAGAGAUCACACAGAACACCGAUUGCGAGGCAGCUCACAAAGCCAUAUCUGACGCUGAGGCACGA
rnacentral:rRNA from 1 species